GUUGAGGCAGAAAGGACUUGAUGAGGCGUUGGGGUUAUGGAAUUGCGUUUUGAGGAUAUGGGCGCAGAAGUUACGAAGAGCUUAUUUAAUUGUUGUUGUGAUGCUCUAUAUUGUUUUAGUUAUGGUUUACCGUACCCUUGCCUUUAUCUUGAUGUAAUCUGUGAGAGGGAUAGGAAUUAUAUUGGAUUAUGUUUGUAAUAUUAUUUAUAUAUAUUUAUGUAUAUAUAUGGAUGUACUCUUUAUGAGUU